rnacentral:rRNA from 1 species
AUUCCAAUCGAACCCGGAGAUAGCUGGUUCUCCCCGAAAUAGCUUUAGGGCUAGCCUCGAGGUAGAGAGUAUAGGCGGUAGAGCACUGAUCGGGCUAGGGGCCAUACCGGUUACCGAACCUAGUCAAACUACGAAUGGCUAUACUUAUACUCGGGAGUCAGACAGUGAAUGAUAAGGUCCAUUGUCAAGAGGGAAACAGCCCAGAACACCGACUAAGGUCCCCAAUGUUACACUAAGUGGCGAAGGAUGUGGAAUUUCCAAAACAACCAGGAUGUUGGCUUAGAAGCAGCCACCAUUUAAAGAGUGCGUAAUAGCUCACUGGUCGAGAGACCCUGCGCCGAAGAUUACCGGGGCUAAAGUACGAAACCGAAGCUGUGGCUACGACGUAAGUCGUGGGGUAGGGGAGCGUUCUGUGAGGGCUGAAGUCGUUCUGUAAGGAACGGUGGACUUCACAGAAGUGAGAAUGUUGGUAUGAGUAGCGAAAAGAAUGGUGAGAAUCCAUUCCACCGAAAGCAUAAGGAUUCCUGGGCAACGAUCGUCGUCCCAGGGUAAGUCGGGACCUAAUCCGAGGCAUGGAGCGUAGGAGAUGGACAACUGGCAGAUAUUCCAGUACCGGUAAUGAUUGUUUGAGCGAUGGAGUGACACAGGAGGGCAGGCAGGCAGGAGAUUGGUUGUUCCUGUACAAGCGUGUAGGAUGGGACGUAGGCAAAUCCGCGUCCUGUGAGUCUGAGGCGUGAUGUGGAGGUUCCGGAAACGGAACUGAAGCUGCUGACCCCACACUGUCGAGAAAAGCUUCUAGUUAGAGAAUUACCGCCCGUACCGUAAACCGACACAGGUAUGCGGGGAGAGAAUCCUAAGGUGCGCGGGAGAACCCUCGUUAAGGAACUCGGCAAAAUGUACCCGUAACUUCGGGAUAAGGGUAGCCGCUGUUGUGAAGUCUGAACAGAUGGAGCAUGAGGCGGUCGCAGAGAAGAGGCCCAAGCGACUGUUUACCACAAACACAGGUGCCUGCUAAAGAGAAAUCUGACGUAUAGGUGCUGACACCUGCCCAGUGCCGGAAGGUUAAGGAAGGAUGUCCGGAGCAAUCCAAAGCAUUCGACCGAAGCCCCGGUGAACGGCGGCCGUAACUAUAACGGUCCUAAGGUAGCGAAAUUCCUUGUCGGGUAAGUUCCGACCCGCACGAAAGGUGUAACGAUUUGGGCACUGUCUCAACGAGGGACCCGGUGAAAUUGAAGUACCUGUGAAGAUGCAGGUUACCCGCGACUGGACAGAAAGACCCCAUGGAGCUUUACUGUAACCUGACAUUGGGUUCUGAUACAUCACGUACAGGAUAGGUGGGAGGCAUGGAAGCGAGGACGCUAGUCUUCGUGGAGCCGCCGUUGGGAUACCACCCUUGAUGUAUCGGAAUUCUAACCGUAGGAGUAACGAAACUCGGGACAGUGUCAGGCGGGCAGUUUGACUGGGGCGGUCGCCUCCCAAAGAGUAACGGAGGCGCCCAAAGGUUCCCUCAGCGCGGCCGGAAAUCGCGCGAAGAGUGUAAAGGCAGAAGGGAGCUUGACUGAGAGCCAAACACGGCGAUCAGGUACGAAAGUAGGGCUUAGUGAUCCGGUGGCAUCCAAGUGGAAGGGCCAUCGCUCAACGGAUAAAAGCUACCCUGGGGAUAACAGGCUAAUCUCUCCCAAGAGUCCAUAUCGACGGGGAGGUUUGGCACCUCGAUGUCGGCUCAUCACAUCCUGGGGCUGAAGUCGGUCCCAAGGGUUGGGCUGUUCGCCCAUUAAAGUGGUACGUGAGCUGGGUUCAGAACGUCGUGAGACAGUUCGGUCCCUAUCCAUCGCGGGCGCAAGAGAUUUGAAGGGGGCUGCUCCUAGUACGAGAGGACCGGAGUGGACGAACCAAUGGUGUACCAAUUAUCUCGCCAGAGGUAUAGUUGGGUAGCUACGUUCGGAAAGGAUAAACGCUGAAAGCAUCUAAGCGUGAAACCAGCCUUAAGAUGAGAUCUCUCAUAGAGUAAUCUAGUAAGACACCUUGGAGAAGACGAGGUUGAUAGGUCGGGAGUGUAAGUACAGUAAUGUAUUCAGCGGACCGAUACUAAUAUGUCGAGGGCUUGACUUA